AGUGUUGGACAGCCGGAGUCAGUCCCCGUGGAGAUUAUCUUUGAUAACAGAUUUCUUCUGGGGAAUAGCUGAGUUCGUGGUUUUGUUGCCCCCAGGAAACCCCCCCAGAAGAAUGGGUCGAAUUAAUCAUCUUCGUGGUCCCAGCCCUCCUCCAAUGGCUGGUGGAUGAGGAAGGUAAAUGUCUGCUCAAAGAAGCAGACAACUGGACAUGCACAUUCAUAGCAGAAGGAAACCAUUAAGCAGUGGAGGGCUGACCAUGCUGGACAAGUAGAUGAAUGUGUACGUCUCAACAAGAAUUACUCUGUGUCCUCACAGACGAAUGAGGUCGUGUUGGGAAUUCCCUCGCAGGGAUCUGGCAUGACUGACAUGCAAUUCUAUAAAUGCACAUGUUUUGUCUCAUCUUUUUGUAUAGUUUAUGAAAGUAUUAAUAUAGUUUUAAUAAGUAAAUAUUUUUAGGUUACAAAGCUGACUGCUCGUGUUUAUAUAAUUAAAACGCCGAAUUUGAAGAAAAUUAAAAGGCUAUGUAUUUAGUACUGUUAGUGUCACCCUUUUCAACUUCUGAAAGUGUUCAUUGUUAAUUUGUUCUCAUUUAUAAAUAAAUCACAUUAUAUUUAUUUCA